UCCUCCUUGGUGCGCAGCACUUGAUUAAGAACAGCCACAAGUCAGAACCACAAGAAAUACAAUGCAGGAAUAACCAUAGGAAAUGGGUUGAAUAAAGCUUUAAUUAAGCACCCAAGUUUUCAUAGCCCUGGUGACUGGC